rnacentral:lncRNA from 1 species
UGCCUUAGCCUCCUAAGCUUCUGGGAUACAGGUGUGUACCACCGCGCUCAGCUAUCUACCUUCUUUCCGAAGGCAAGUUCCUUCUGAAAUGAAAGGCUACCUCUGAGAGUCUUGACCUGCCCAAUCUUUCCUCAGCGUUUUCCAAAGGUUUAAGCCUCGCUCGCUGUGCCUGGGUCUUCUCUUGCUCCUUCCUAGCUCAGCCUUCACCACUUGAGGCUCAUCAAACAUGGCUCAUACCUGCAGAGACCGUCAGAUUCAUGUUCAAGAACAGCCUGUUGUUUCUGUCUCCAAUGCCACAACGGUACUGUCCCACAUCAUGCAAGGACAGUUGGGACAGCCUCACCACAAACAAGCUGCUCUGUGGGAAGUCUGCUAGAGUCACACGACCCUGGUAGUCACGGUGAGUGUAGUGGUUGCUGGACACAAUUGUGUGGCAGAUCCUCGUUGGCAGCUGCAGACGGCACCAGUACUUCCUCUGGUGCCUGUUGGCUGACGAGGGGGUGUAAUGGCACUGGAUGGUG